rnacentral:rRNA from 1 species
CAGCAGCCACGGAAUACGGAGGGUGCAAGCGUUACUCGGAAUCACUGGGCGUAAAGGACGCGUAGGCGGAUUAUCAAGUCUCUUGUGAAAUCUAACGGCUUAACCGUUAAACUGCUUGGGAAACUGAUAAUCUAGAGUAAGGGAGAGGCAGAUGGAAUUCUUGGUGUAGGGGUAAAAUCCGUAGAUAUCAAGAAGAAUACCUAUUGCGAAGGCGAUCUGCUGGAACUUAACUGACGCUAAUGCGUGAAAGCGUGGGGAGCAAACAGGAUUAGAUACCCCGGUAGUCCCUGUCUCUUAUACA